UACGUAGGGUCCGAGCGUUGUCCGGAAUUAUUGGGCGUAAAGAGCUCGUAGGCGGUUUGUCGCGUCUGCUGUGAAAUCCCGAGGCUCAACCUCGGGUCUGCAGUGGGUACGGGCAGACUGGAGUGCGGUAGGGGAGAAUGGAAUUCCUGGUGUAGCGGUGGAAUGCGCAGAUAUCAGGAGGAACACCGAUGGCGAAGGCAGCACUCUGGGACGUGACUGACGCUGAGACGCGAAAGCGUGGGGAGCAAACAGG
rnacentral:rRNA from 1 species